GUGGAAAACAUGGUUGGGGUGGCAGGACCAUGGAAGCAACCCACAUGCCCAAUAGGCAAUAAGGGAGGAUGCUGACAGCAUGUCAAGAACCCCAUGACAGCAUGGGAGGUACCCUACUUUCCAUACCAUAUUCUUAUUCCCAUACCUGUAGGAGAAUAUUGACAUUUAUUAACAUUUUGUGGGUUGGGAAGGGAAUCCUAAUAUAAGUGAGAAAAAAUGAAAUGAGCUAGUGAGCUGGGGAUAGAGUUCAGUAAUAAAACACUUGCUCAUCACAGGGCAUGAAGUGAAGAUAUUUUUAAUAAAAAAGUGGAUAGUUAUUUUUACUCUGAAAUGUUUACUUGACCAUUUAAUGACAUCUUCAAGUAUAUACAAAAUCAAAUAAACAGCACACAUGCUUAAUGCAGUGAAUAUCCAUUCUGGUGUGUAUUCGUGGUAGUGUGGUGAGUCUGUAGACAUGCUGAGGUAUUAUGGGAAGCUCUCAGCCCUCCACAGUUGACUUUCAAAGAAAGAGGUUCAGUUGAAGAUGGUUCAGUGAAAAUACCAGAAUCACAUAUACAGGAGCACUGUGCAUACAUCCUUGGUAAUAUUAUAGAAAGGAAACACCAAAAUCAUUCAGCUAUAUGCAGCCUUUGGAAUGUGGCAGAAAUAAAACACCAGAAUCAUGUAAAAGCAACUAACCUUGGGAAUGUGGCAGAAAGAGAAGCCAAACAUUCCAUGGGAAGUGGACAAGCACACUCAGGAACAGUAAGUGGAUUGCUUAUGUAGUAACAAGACUUACUUUCUCAGACCUGCUGUUUGAAGAUAAAAAUUGGAAAACUCUUUAGUUUAACCAGUCUGCAAAGUUGUAGAAGACAAAAAUGUGUUCCAGAAGAAUCUGAGUGGUAUUGAUGACUUUCUCCAACUCCACCAGAACAGACUUCUAUGCAGAAGAGGAAGCAGAAAGAUUUUAAGAGCCAGAAGUGGUGGGUGACUCCAGGAUGAUGGACAUAUGAACACGCAGUGAUUGUGACACCGUGCAGAAAACCUGCAGUUUCAAACCAGACAAAAUCCCAUUACUGAGAAGAAGGAAUGGACAUGAAGCCCUGCCCCCACUAACAAAGAAGGGCUUGAAGAUUUAUGAUGAUCUAACCCACAGGUGUGUGCAGUGAAAGAUUGCUUGAAUAAGACAGCACCGACUGAUAUUUUUCCUUAUUGUCAUAAAUGUGGAUUAAAAGGCCUUAAUAAAUUUUAUUUUCAACAUUGAUAACUCUUAAUUUAAUCAUUAAUAUUGAUCAUCACACAUGUCAAGGACCUAAAGGAAGUAAGGCCAACAAGUGUUUUUGCAUUCAUAGAAAACUGCUUGUAACCUUCCACAAUGCAGAAGCCUCAGGUCUAUUUCAUCAUAAGCAGAGUCCUACCUGCUGCAGGCUCCACUUAGAAGAACUUGUGGACUUUCCAUAGGUGGUGGUGGUGAUACCUGAAAAAGUAGUUUGACACACAUUAAUAUUCUGUAAAAAUGAAAUAAACACCAUUAAAG
rnacentral:lncRNA from 1 species